rnacentral:rRNA from 1 species
GCUACAGGCUUAACACAUGCAAGUCGAGGGGCAGCAUGGUCUUAGCUUGCUAAGACUGAUGGCGACCGGCGCACGGGUGAGUAACACGUAUCCAACCUGCCGUCUACUCUUGGACAGCCUUCUGAAAGGAAGAUUAAUACAAGAUGGCAUCAUGAGUCCGCAUGUUCACAUGAUUAAAGGUAUUCCGGUAGACGAUGGGGAUGCGUUCCAUUAGAUAGUAGGCGGGGUAACGGCCCACCUAGUCUUCGAUGGAUAGGGGUUCUGAGAGGAAGGUCCCCCACAUUGGAACUGAGACACGGUCCAGACUCCUACGGGAGGCAGCAGUGAGGAAUAUUGGUCAAUGGGCGAGAGCCUGAACCAGCCAAGUAGCGUGAAGGAUGACUGCCCUAUGGGUUGUAAACUUCUUUUAUAAAGGAAUAAAGUCGGGUAUGCAUACCCGUUUGCAUGUACUUUAUGAAUAAGGAUCGGCUAACUCCGUGCCAGCAGCCGCGGUAAUACGGAGGAUCCGAGCGUUAUCCGGAUUUAUUGGGUUUAAAGGGAGCGUAGAUGGAUGUUCAAGUCAGUUGUGAAAGUUUGCGGCUCAACCGUAAAAUUGCAGUUGAUACUGGAUAUCUUGAGUGCAGUUGAGGCAGGCGGAAUUCGUGGUGUAGCGGUGAAAUGCUUAGAUAUCACGAAGAACUCCGAUUGCGAAGGCAGCCUGCUAAGCUGCAACUGACAUUGAGGCUCGAAAGUGUGGGUAUCAAACAGGAUUAGAUACCCUGGUAGUCCACACGGUAAACGAUGAAUACUCGCUGUUUGCGAUAUACUGCAAGCGGCCAAGCGAAAGCGUUAAGUAUUCCACCUGGGGAGUACGCCGGCAACGGUGAAACUCAAAGGAAUUGACGGGGGCCCGCACAAGCGGAGGAACAUGUGGUUUAAUUCGAUGAUACGCGAGGAACCUUACCCGGGCUUAAAUUGCAGAUGAAUUACGGUGAAAGCCGUAAGCCGCAAGGCAUCUGUGAAGGUGCUGCAUGGUUGUCGUCAGCUCGUGCCGUGAGGUGUCGGCUUAAGUGCCAUAACGAGCGCAACCCUUGUUGUCAGUUACUAACAGGUUCCGCUGAGGACUCUGACAAGACUGCCAUCGUAAGAUGUGAGGAAGGUGGGGAUGACGUCAAAUCAGCACGGCCCUUACGUCCGGGGCUACACACGUGUUACAAUGGGGGGUACAGAGGGCCGCUACCACGCGAGUGGAUGCCAAUCCCCAAAACCUCUCUCAGUUCGGACUGGAGUCUGCAACCCGACUCCACGAAGCUGGAUUCGCUAGUAAUCGCGCAUCAGCCACGGCGCGGUGAAUACGUUCCCGGGCCUUGUACACACCGCCCGUCAAGCCAUGGGAGCCGGGGGUACCUGAAGUGCGUAACCGCGAGGAGCGCCCUAGGGUAAAACUGGUGACUGGGG